rnacentral:lncRNA from 10 species
GCCACCGUGUCGGAGGCGAGGCGAGGAAGGGAGCUGGAAUAACAAAGGUGGCAGCUGAGCAUCCCUGGAGAGGGUGGGUGGUAUGAAAGCACUUCCAGACCUCUAGGGACACCAGGGAGUCAUGGUCCCAGCACAUUGCUGUGUGAUUGAGCCCCUCCUCAGCCUGUGGGUGGCCUAAGUUCACAGGGAGGUAAUGGGGUAGAUUGGAUACCUCUGGGGUCUUGGAAGAAGCUAUGACUUAUUUACUGUCUACUAUGUGAGUUUUGGGCAUCCUUCUAUCAGCCCUUAUCCCAGGGCAGGAAGAACAGCCUUGAUCCUGGAUCCCAGGCACAGCUGGGUGUCAGACCUGGAGGAGAAGCUCCCAGAGUGACCAAGAUAGAAUCGGCAUGCAGGU